CCCUUGCAGUUUAUUCACUACCGCUUUACUACUUGUCCUAUGUGGAUAAUUUUUUCAUUUUCUUUUCAUAGCAGCCAAACGCUAUAGUGAAUGUUGAAAUUUUUGUCAUGCUUUGACAGUAGUUGAAUGUACAGUACUCUUCAGACGAUUUUUUUAACUGGCGACCAAAAUCAAGACCCUCUCCAAAACCCACCCGAACUCCUUUUUCUCUUCUCCAGGACCUUGCUCCUCUCCACCGCAAACCAACUGGUGUGGGAACAAUGGCGCCGUCGAAGGUGAGAUACCCAUCGCCCAUACCCACUCCUGAAACCAAUCUCCCUCUCUCUCUCUCUCUCUGCGCACCCUAGCGUUGCUUCCAGGCCGAGCCUCCUCUGCUCUUGGGGUUGCACCUCCUAUGGUGUGGUCACCAUUCAACGAUGCCUUCAAAGGAUUUGGGAGGUUUGGGCAAAAUCACACUAGGUCUGGCACCACCCCCGCACAGUUGACCACCCUCCUAAGCCGCUAGUUGAAGACUUGAAUCAUGCAGUUCUCACUUGUGCUCUACUCCGAGAGUGCUGGCAGUAGCUGAUGCCUGGGUUAAACAUAAAUGCUUCUGCUUCUAUAUUUGAUGCACUUCUACAAUGAUGUCAGAGGAUGGAGUUUGACAAGAUGGCCACAUUUUGCUCACUACUUUGGAGUUUUUGGUAUAGACAAAACAAAAGGAAUUUGAGCAGCUUGAGUUGCCACCACUACAGGUUGCUGAGCAUGCUUUAGGCAUCUUGAGGAGGUUCAAAUUUGUGAAGGGUCAAUCUCGUUUAAAGGCGCAACAGUCUUUACAGUGGUCUCCUCCUCCAGCUGAGUAUUUAAAGCUUAAUACUGAUGGCGCUCUUUUCAGUGAUGUUCGUAAGGCUGGUAUUGAGGCUAUUAUAAGAGAUGCUGUAGGUAAGGUAGUUAUGGCUGCUAGUUUGGUUGCACAGGAAGUCAAUCAGCCUGAAACUAUUGAAUUGUUGGCUGUGUUUUAGGGCAUGCAGCUUUGUAUUGGCAUGGGUAUUUGAAAUUUAAUUGUGAAGUCGGAUUGUCUUUUACUUAUUAAUUCCUUGCAGAAGAAUGACAUGAUAGAUUUGGCUUCUGGUUCUCUAUUUGCUGAAGUUCUAUGCUUGCAAACUUAUUUUGCUUCUUGCUCUUAUACUCAUGUUUAUAGGGAGGGUAAUGUGGCAGCACAUAGUCUUGCCCGUCAUGCUUGGAAGGUUGAGAAUAUUGAGAAGUGGGGAGAUUGUAUUCUAGACUUUCUUUCUUAAGCUCUUUGGCUUGAUAAAUGUCUGUAAUCAUCUGAUUAAUCAAUGAAGUUGUUAUUGCUUAUCAAAAAAAAAAAAAAAAAAAAUUAACAAAUAGAUUCCUAAGAAAAUCUUCCAUUGAAAACAAUCUAUCAUGGCAAGGUGGAGUACAGUGAGUGGGGUUUCUAAAAUAUUACAUUUGCUAGUGUUUCAUUAUGGAUCUCAACUUCAUUAGUUUAAUCUGACCAGUGCAUGCUUUGUUGUGUGACGGCUUUGGUAGUGCAAAAUGUCCACAAAUUUUGUGUUAAACUCAACUACUUAGAAUGUUUUACCAGUUCGGCAAACGGUAUCUAAGCAAAGAUCAACAAUGGGCAUUGAGGCUACCUGCCAUCUUAAUGGAUUUGAGAAUGAAGCACACAAAAUCAAGAUUCUCAUGCGUAGAUAUAGGGCUGCACUUACAAUGUCUUGGAUUUUUUUCUUAGUUGUAUUAAUAUGGUUGCUAUUAAUUUAACUAUUUCGAACCAUCUUGAAAAUUUUGCUGGUUUUCUGGUUGAAAAUAUUGUAUAUACUACUACUUGGAAAAGCUAUGUUUGGUAUGUAUGCUCUAAUAUGAUGAAAAUAUUGUAUAUGUUUACUUCUCCCUAGAAUGGAAAAGUUCCAUAUAUAUAACCCUUUUAUUCACGC